AUGAACGCUGGCGGCGUGCUUAACACAUGCAAGUCGAGCGAAGCACUAAAGCGGAUUUCUUCGGAUUGAAGGUUUAGUGACUGAGCGGCGGACGGGUGAGUAACGCGUGGGUAACCUGCCUCAUACAGGGGGAUAACAGUUGGAAACGGCUGCUAAUWCCGCAUAAGCGCACAGUACCGCAUGGUACGGUGUGAAAAACUCCGGUGGUAUGAGAUGGACCCGCGUCUGAUUAGGUAKUUGGUGGGGUAACGGCCUACCAAGCCGACGAUCAGUAGCCGACCUGAGAGGGUGACCGGCCACAUUGGGACUGAGACACGGCCCAAACUCCUACGGGAGGCAGCAGUGGGGAAUAUUGCACAAUGGGGGAAACCCUGAUGCAGCGACGCCGCGUGAGCGAAGAAGUAUUUCGGUAUGU
rnacentral:rRNA from 1 species